UACGUAGGUGGCAAGCGUUGUCCGGAUUUACUGGGCGUAAAGAGCGCGCAGGCGGUCGUUCAAGUCGCGUGUGAAAGCCCCCGGCUCAACUGGGGAGGGUCACGCGAUACUGAUCGACUCGAAGGCAGGAGAGGGUAGUGGAAUUCCCGGUGUAGUGGUGAAAUGCGUAGAUAUCGGGAGGAACACCAGUGGCGAAGGCGACUACCUGGCCUGUUCUUGACGCUG
rnacentral:rRNA from 1 species